rnacentral:lncRNA from 1 species
GGGACUUGGAACAAAAGGGGAAACUCUGAUGAACUCCUUCUCCAGCUCCCUGGACGCCCGAGUAUCUCUUUCUCGCAACUUUGUCAACGCGACUUUCUCCGCUGUCAGGCUGCGCAAAAGUAUCCUAGCGCCUCGCAGGCUGCAACAAUGGAAACAAUGUCCCUUCAAAGUGCGACGAAGUGGAGGGAGAAGGUGUCAUACCAGCGACUCCAAGAGUCAUGUCACCCACUUAGCAGGAGUACUUCUACUGAAAUGCCUUCGAAUUUCUCUUACUGGAUAUAUACCUACCAGCCGCUAGCAUGAAGAUGCCAGGACCGCUGCAAGUUAGCACUGGACAAAGUAGCAUCAACUUCUUCAUUUAGAGUUUCUUCAGUUAAAUUGCUGGGAUUUUCGACAAGGCUUUCCUUAUGUGGAUUAUUGGAGUGUGAUGCCCGAGAAUUCUCUACUUGUAGAAGCACGCCCACGGGACUGCAGAAGCCUUCACACCCACCCAGCACGCUCAGAUCAUCCAGUAACCAACCCAGGAAGUUCUUGUAAGCAUGCAUUUCUUAGUCAACACUGAAUGCCUUUAGACCGAGGUCAACCUUUUCAGCUGGUACCGUGGUUUACACUGCUGAAAGUACUGUCUUCAACCUUACCAAUGUCAGUGGCGGCGACGGUGGCGUCACCAUCACCAUCAGAGAAAAAGAAAUAUGCCUUUAUGUCAUGGUAAGAGAUGGGAAUGAGUGAUGGCCAUCCAGUGACCAGCUGGAUCUGACUGCCUUACAAGACGCAUGUGUAUGAUUAAGAGAGAGACAUUCGUGACUCCCAGAUGUACCUCCUUCCUGUCCCACAGUGUUCCUGAAGGGAGUGAGUUAUGGGGUAACUUAUAACACAGCAGGCUCUUCCUCAAGAUAGCUCUUGUCAAAACAGGAAGACGAAACUCGGGUUUCCAUGAGGAGACCACAGCUUGGGAUCCUGUCUGGAUGUACAAGCAGAAGCAUCUUCAUACUUUUCCAUUUCUAACCAUCAUGCCUCACCCCACCCUCCCAAGGCGACAUCUGCAGAGAGGUGGAACCAUCUAGGGAGGCCUGCCACUGUUUGCUGAGCUCCGGGUGAGGAUGAAGACACUUUGACAUGGCCAGCUUCAGACUCGGGAUCUGUCGGUGUUAGCAGCCGAAGGAGAAUGAGGAGGAAGAGGAGGAGAAAGAGGAGGAGGAAGUAAGACAGAGGGGGACAAGAGGACCAAGAGGGCACAUGGCUGAGGAGGAGGAGAACAACAACAACAACAACAACAACAACAACAACAAGAAGCUUGGUGUUUUCAGGAUGUGUUCCUGAGUCUCGUGAGUAGCACAUGGCAGUUGUUGUCACCUUGGGCUGAGCCGUGAAGAUUCUCACCCUCCCUUGUUGGGGAUGAACUCCGGGAUUCUAAGGAGAGGUCAGCAGGUGUUUCACAGACUGUUCCUGUUGGAGGAUUUGUCUGAUACUCUUCUCCUGAUUAGUCUGGGCUCUACAUUUCCCCAAGGGUGAAACUUGGAAGCCCUCUCCAGGAUGCAGCAGGUAGCUGAGGAGAAAACGAAGACUGACCAGCCCAGAGCUCAGAGCUUCCUCCCAUGCUCAGGAUUUACCACCAAUGCCAUUACAUCGGCCUCUUCUUGUAUGCCUCUGGAAACCACAUGUGUCCUCUGUUUGUAAUGGUUUGGCUAUGGUUGCUGGCCCCUCUUGGACAUUGUUUUCAGAACUUAAAGAAACAUUGCUUUAAAGAUUUAUUAGAACAUAUUUAAAAUAAAACCAUCUUCUCAUUUA